rnacentral:rRNA from 1 species
AUUGAACGCUGGCGGCAGGCCUAACACAUGCAAGUCGAACGAGUGGCGGACGGGUGAGUAAUGUAUGGGCAACAGCCUGAUGGAGGGGGAUAACUACUGGAAACGGUAGCUAAUACCGCAUACAAUAAGAUGUGACCAGAUGGGCUUAGCUUGUUGGUGGGGUAACGGCUAACGAAGGCGACGAUCUCUGGCUGGUCUUCGUGGAUGACCAGCCAACAUGGAACUGUGACACGUUCCAAGCUCCUACGGUAGGCAGCAGUGGGGAAUAUUGCACAAUGGGCGCAAGCCUGAUGCAGCCAUGCCGCGGGUAUGAAGAAGGCCUUCGGGUUGUAAAGUACUUUCAGCGGGGAGGCGUUACCCGCAGAAGAAGCACCGGCUAACUCCGUGCCAGCAGCCGCGGUAAUUC